rnacentral:snRNA from 1 species
GUGCUCGCUUCGGCAGCACAUAUACUAAAAUUGGAACGAUACAGAGAAGAUUAGCGUGGCCCCUGGGCAAGGACGACACGCAAAUUCGCCGAGUGUUCCACAUUUUU